GAUGAAGAACGUAGUGAAAUGCGAUACUUGGUGUGAAUUGCAGAAUCCCGUGAACCAUCGAGUCUUUGAACGCAAGUUGCGCCCGAAGCCAUUAGGCCGAGGGCACGCCUGCCUGGGCGUCACACGUCGUUGCCCCCCCAUCUACUCCUUCGGGAUUGCGGGGGGCGGAUGAUGGCCUCCCGUGCGCCUCGCCGCGCGGUUGGCAUAAAUGCCAAGUCCUCGGCGACGCACGCCACGACAAUCGGUGGUUGCGAAACCUCGGUUGCCCGUCGUGUGCGGUCGUCGCGCAUCGAGGGCUCGAAAAAAUUGCCGGGUUCCGGCUCGGCUUUCAACGCGACCCCAGGUCAGGCGGGGUUACCCGCUGAAUUUAAGCAUAUCAAUAAGCGGAAGA
rnacentral:misc_RNA from 1 species